UACGUAGGGGGCAAGCGUUGUCCGGAUUUAUUGGGCGUAAAGAGCGUGUAGGCGGUCAGGUAGGUCCGUUGUGAAAACUCGAGGCUCAACCUCGAGACGCCGAUGGAAACCAUCUGACUAGAGUCCGGAAGAGGAGAGUGGAAUCCUGGUGUAGCGGUGAAAUGCGCAGAUAUCAGGAAGAACACCCGUGGCUAAGGCGGCUCUCUAGUACGGUACUGACGCUGAGACGCGAAACGUGGGGAGCGAACAGGAU
rnacentral:rRNA from 1 species